rnacentral:rRNA from 1 species
CAACAGGGAUUGCCCCAGUAACGGCGAGUGAAGCGGCAACAGCUCAAAUUUGAAAUCUGGCUCUCGGGCCCGAGUUGUAAUUUGUAGAGGAUGCUUUUGGUGCGGUGCCUUCCGAGUUCCCUGGAACGGGACGCCAUAGAGGGUGAGAGCCCCGUCUGGUCGGACACCAAGCCUCUGUAAAGCUCCUUCGACGAGUCGAGUAGUUUGGGAAUGCUGCUCUAAAUGGGAGGUAUAUGUCUUCUAAAGCUAAAUACUGGCCAGAGACCGAUAGCGCACAAGUAGAGUGAUCGAAAGAUGAAAAGAACUUUGAAAAGAGAGUUAAAAAGUACGUGAAAUUGUUGAAAGGGAAGCGCUUGUGACCAGACUUGGGCUCGGUUGAUCAUCCAGGGUUCUCCCUGGUGCACUCCUCCAGCCUAGGCCAGCAUCAGUUCGCCGCGGGGGAAAAAGGUAGCGGGAAUGUGGCUCCCUCCGGGGAGUGUUAUAGCCCGUUGCGUAAUACCCUGGGGCGGACUGAGGUUCGCGCAUUCGCAAGGAU